GGAGAUUAGCAGUGUUGACAUGGUCUUUUCCAAUCCUGAAUCAGUCUUGAACUGUCUAUGAUUUAACACAAACAUCGAGAAGUCAGCUGGAUUUGAAAGCCGAGUCCCGUAGAAGGACAAGUGUUUUCAUGGUUGAGCAUUAGCACACCCACCAUAACAGAAUAAAUAUCAUAAGCAGCUGGGGCCUUUUGUGAUGUCAUCGUUCCCGGAUGUUGAGGGGCCCUAUUGUGACAUGUGCAGUGUUCAAUAUGCGCAAAUUUUCAAAGGGGAUGCCAUACUGAUUUUCUAGAAGCUGCCACUUUGAUUUGUGCUUGGACAGGCUUAUCAAUCCAAUUUAUUAGCAUUGUGGUGAAUGCAGUGGAUGACAACCGCAGAAGCCAGCAAGGAAGCAUCCUAUUCUCCAUACAAAAUUGGUUGCAGUUUCACUGGAGCACCCGGCUGGAUCCUGCUUUCGGAAACCUGGACCAGGUGGAGCAGGUGCAGUGGUCCUAGGAAAGUGUGAUACAAGCACAUCACGGCAAUGUACAGACAGGCUCCAUCUCCAUCUCCCUGGCCGAAAAAUGUAUAGCGCAUAUGGUGUCCCAUGGAAGGCUGGGCGGCAUAAACACUAAACUGAUGUGAUGCAACAAGAUACAGGAAACUGAAAUGUUUUACCACCAUCAGAGGUCACUAUAGCUCCCUCAUGAAGCAAUAGGGGGGUGUACUAGUUCACUCAUUAAGUCCAGAGGGCAUCCCAUCAUAAACAGGGACUUGAGUCACUUCCACCAUAGACUGCAAUGGUUCUUAAUAGAAAGAGUUUAAUAGCCUUAAUAUGGAAGACAUUGUAACAAUGGCAGUUGGCAGCCACCAGC